GACACCGGGGACAGACACCGGGCACCGACCCCGGGCACGGACACCGGGCACGGACACCGGGCACGGACACCAGGCACCGGCAACGAGUACGGACACCGGGCACAGACACCGGGCACUGACACCGACCCCGGGCACCGAGCACCAACCCGGGGCACCGACACCGGGCACUGACACUGGCCCUGGGCAUCAGAAACGAGCAUGACACCGGGCACCGACACCAACACCGGGCACUGGCAAUAAGCACUGACAGCACGCACCGGCACCAGCAACAAGCACCGGCAUCGAGCACUGACGCUGUCGGUCUGCGUCUCCACCCAGCCUGCGGGGAUGGCCCAUGGGAGCGGCAACAAUCAGCGCUCCGUGCUGGCCAAGACUUUCCAUGUAGCACUGGCAAGUAGAAUGAACAAGGUCUGUAACAGAACAGGCUGUCUUGGGCUGCUGGAAUGCACCUGCAUCACCUCACCCUUCUUUCACAUGCACAAGAAUUGGAAACAUUAAAAAAUAAUAAAAUACACCACACAUCUGGCUCCAGGAAUCCUACAUGCAAUGCAAACACUACAAGUGCUGGCAAGGACUCUUCCAAGGACUUUUUCCCUUUUCUCUGCUGUGACUUUGGUGGAAGGUUUGAAUGGUGGAAUUAUUUGCAAGUACUCAGCAUGUGCUGAAACAGAUGAUGCCGCACCUGGCCCACAGCUGGCCAGGACCAUGCCAGCAAGAGCUGUACCACAAUGGGACAAAUUUGUCUACCCUUUCCUGCUUGCCACAAUCCACUGUGUUGCCAGCAGGUUGUAAGACCAUGGCCACCCUGAACCUUGCUUUCUCUUCCAGGCCAGCUGCAAUUCCACACUUGCGCAGAGCUCUGAACACCAUCAGCAAGAUGUUCCUACAGAUCCUGCUGCCAGGCAGCUCCACUAGGAAAAUUUUACAGCCACACCUGGCAAGGACAUUGCUGUAAAUCCAAUUCUACUUCCUGGCAGAAAAACAAGCCAUCUGACCUGGGUGACCAACUCCCAUACCCUCCCUCCAGUUUGCUUUCUGAACUAGAACCUAACAAGGACAUCAGGGGCCUGACAAGCACCCUGCUCCCCAGUGUGUGCACUGGCAGAGCCAUCUCACAGCACAACCCCUGACACUGCAGCCAGUUCUGACUGCUGCAAAGCCCUGAGACAAGUGGGUGACAGCAGCGUGGACUCUCAGUACCAUGUCCUCUGCAUUAACCCAGCCUAAGGUUUUUACCACCAACCGAGUCUGUUACUCUGUGUGCUUCUGCUGAAGUUCUUGGCUAGUUUUACUGAAUUUGUAUUUAUUCUAAACUCAAAAACCUUUCACCAGUUUGAAGUCAAAGACAGCAGAGGCUCAACAACUUACUUAUUACUACUAGGACUGUGAAAAUACUGGCAAAAUGGCAAGGGCUGCUUGGCUCUCCUGUUUCCCUGGUGAGCUGCUGCACCCCUGCAGUCAGCAAUAGAUGGCUGGAAACCUUCCCCUCUAUGGCAGAUCCAUGGGCAGGGGUGUCUGCAAGCACCAGGCAGUGAAUGGGGGAGCAGUGCUGUGCCACAGCCUCUGCAACCAAAAGCCUGUGAGGAGAAGAUCAGGUACCAGACCACACUGUUCUUGUCACAACACUGCAAUGCAUCAAGAAUGGGUCCUGGUCCCUACUGAAAAUAGACUGGCUGGGUCUGGGAGGUGAGAAACAGCCUCAGCUCCCAUCACCAAACCUCUCAAAACUUCACUCACACAUUUUCUGGAAAGUUUAUGAGCAUCCCCAUGCCUGGUGGUACCACAUUAACUUUGUCUAGACUCAGAAAAAGCAGCAGUUCAUUAGUUAAUAAUAGAUAAAUGACUAUACAGAUGCUGCUGACUUCAACACUUGGAAGUUUCAAGAGUCAAGCUUGCAUCAGCCCCCUGGAUGCUGGCCAGCCACAGUGACUUCAGAUCCCUAGUUUGAAGAGAUGUGCUUUCCUCAUGGUUGCUAUGUGACACUCGCACAAAUACAAUCAAACACCCUGCCCUGGGCCCAAAACAUUCAAAACAGAAAGAAACUUUUUCCAUAGGAUCUCUUCCAGGUGCAGUGUGUGAGGCGCUACUCACACACUUUAAAAUAUCCGCUAUGAGAAGCGUGGUCAAUCUGAAAGUUACUUAAAAUGGCAAUGCUCAGAGCUCCAAAGUUCCUCAUGGCUCCAGGUGUUUGUGGCAGCCACAAAAGAGAAGAGCAGCGUGAGGAGCACCAGUGGUGUGAAGACUGAAUCGAAGGCCCCCACUGCUGCCAGGACUUUGGCACCAGAACAAAUGCAGCUCUGACUGCGGCCCAGCAGUGCUCAGCAGCCUGGCUCAACCCCCUCUAUGAGGACCAGGAGGCUUCUGACCCAACUCUAGAGCAAAGGGAAAAAGCAGAUCCCACCAGCCCUGAGCCCAUGGCCAACGACUCUCAUACAGGCACGACCAACAUUCGGUGGAUAUCGCCAGUCAUGGAACUAUCUGGGCUCAAACGUCAUCAUGUUCAGCAGAUUGCCAGGCCAGCCUGGCCCCAUGCAUACAAUCUCCUCCUCCCACACAUAUUCUUUGCAUGAAACAGUCCCCUCUGCUCUCACAGCAGAUGAGUUUUCAGGGGUUAAGUUACUUCAGAGGCAGUGAAUCCAAGGGACAGAAACACCAUCCUUUCACCAAAGUGGGACGUCCUGCGCCCCCAGAACACUUCCUGCACACCACGUUCCUGGAAAUAUCUGCUCCACCAGGCUGAAAACAGGCUGUGUCAAUGUGGAGCUGGCUAUCUGUUUUGCACCUGGCUGCAAAACCCAUUUUCUUUUCUGUUUACAAAUUCCACAAUGAACAACAUCUCCUGAGAAGAGCAUGUUGUUUUCAAGACCACAUCAGCCCAAAUAACACUCGCACCAUCAUAUCAAAACCCUGGCAGAGCAAGACUGGCCUGGCACCUCAGUGCCCCAGAGGCCAGGCACCCCAGAGGCUGCUCCUGCCACCCCUGCACUGCCCACACACCAGGGCCAGCCACUGCCAAAGCCCUGAGCCCCAGAGCUGAGAGCGAGGACAGAAGGAAACCAAGGACCAUUGCCACGAGCUACUGUGAAAAAUCAAACUACUUCCAUGCUAGGCCAACGGAGCUGCCCCAGGUGAAGCCACAAUCCCAUGUUUGUGGGACCACAGCCAGCUGCAUUGGAAAUGACAAGUUGAGCUGCAGCACCGUGCAGCAGAGCCCUGCUGCCUCCGCGGAUGCCCAGGACUGCGGCUCUCAGUACCUGCACAGGCAUCACCCGCCUUCCAUGGACAUCCUGGCCACAGGAAUUCACAGCCUGCUGUCUGUGACCUCAGAGAAACUCUCUUUUUACUUCAUGAUAGUAACGUGAACACAGUAAUCCACUCUGGCUAACAAAUGGCAUGACACUCUCAGAGAAAACUACAGGACGCUUCAGAAGGGUAGAGUCCACUUUGGCUAUUACUGCUGAAAACCUGCACUGAGUUAAAUCACUCUUAUUACAAACAACAAAUAGCCCAGAUCAGCCUUGAAUCUGGCCCCACAGUGUUGUUCCUCCAAAUCUUAAGUCUUGUGUGGCAAAAACUCUUGCUGCAGCGGAACUCAGUAGCAAGGAAACUAACCUCCUGCUUUGAGCAAAGGACACUUCAGGUGCCCAUCUCUUGUUCCCCAGGAAGCCCACCAGCCCACAGAGGCAGCUCCCCAUAACCACACAGCAGUCCCUUGGGCCACCACGCUAAUGACUGCCACUCUCUGUCCCUACAUCCCCUGGCAAAGCUCAAAGUCCCACUGACAGAGCAAACGCAUAGCUCCCAACUGCUUUGAGCUAUAUGCCCACUAUGGCUUCAGUAUGCUUCAAUAUACAGACGAGCUUUUAUCCUUCCAAUAUCCUUCCAAAACAAAGCAAGGUUGGACCAUGUGCCUGAGUCUAUAUUAUGCUGCCCAGUUGCAUGACACCACAUGUUAUCACUAGGCAUUUAUUCACUGGAGUUGUCUCCUGUAGAAAUGUUGGGGCUUUAAUUGUGAUUAAUAUCAUUAUAGGAAAACUAACAAACAAACAAACAAGGUGUGUUGGUCUGUUGUACUUCCAGUAAACUGUUCACUGCAAAAAUUAGAAGACAGAUCUGUCUGUUGUCCUGGGCACAGGCAAGUCUCUUACU